GGCAGCAGCCGCGGUAACACCGGCAGCUCUAGUGGUAGCUGUUUUAUUGGGCCUAAAGCGUUCGUAGCCGGUUUAAUAAGUCUCUGGUGAAAUCCUAUAGCUUAACUGUGGGAAUUGCUGGAGAUACUAUUAGGCUUGAGAUCGGGAGAGGUCAGAGGUACUCCUGGGGUAGGGGUGAAAUCCUGUAAUCCUAGGAGGACCACCUGUGGCGAAGGCGUCUGACUAGAACGAAUCUGACGGUGAGGAACGAAAGCUAGGGGCGCGAACCGGAUUAGAUACCCGGGUAGUCCUAGCCGUAAACUAUGCGGACUUGGUGUGAGGGUGGCUUUGAGCCGUCCUGGUGCCGAAGGGAAGCUGUUAAGUCCGCCGCCUGGGAAGUACGGUCGCAAGACUGAAACUUAAGGAAUUGGCGGGGAGCACCACAACGCGUGGAGCCUGCGGUUUAAUUGGAUUCAACGCCGGAGAUCUCACCAGCGGCGACAGCAGUAUGAUGACCAGGUUGAUGACUUUGUUUGACAAGCUGAGAAGUGGUGCAUGG
rnacentral:rRNA from 1 species